rnacentral:rRNA from 1 species
AAUAGAUACCCGGGUAGUCCACGCCGUAAACGAUGUCGACUUGGAGGUUGUGCCCCUUGAGGCGUGGCUUCCGGAGCUAACGCGUUAAGUCGACCGCCUGGGGAGUACGGCCGCAAGGUUAAAACUCAAAUGAAUUGACGGGGGGCCCGCACAAGCGGUGGAGCAUGUGGUUUAAUUCGAUGCAACGCGAAGGACCUUACCUACUCUUGACAUCCAGAGAACUUAGCAGAGAUGCUUUGGUGCCUUCGGGAACUCUGAGACAGGUGCUGCAUGGCUGUCGUCAGCUCGUGUUGUGAAAUGUUGGGUUAAGUCCCGCAACGAGCGCAACCCUUAUCCUUUGUUGCCAGCGGUCCGGCCGGGAACUCAAAGGAGACUGCCAGUGAUAAACUAGGAGGAAGGUGGGGAUGACGUCAAGUCAUCAUGGCCCUUACGAGUAGGGCUACACACGUGCUACAAUGGCGCAUACAAAGAGAAGCGACCUCGCGAGAGCAAGCGGACCUCAUAAAGUGCGUCGUAGUCCGGA